CACUUGUCAGGAUUUGGGGCCACCCCCUGAUGAGUCCAUGAUGGGACAAAACCCGCG
rnacentral:hammerhead_ribozyme from 1 species